CAGCCGCCACGGUAAUACGGAGGGGGCUAGCGUUGUUCGGAAUUACUGGGCGUAAAGCGUACGUAGGCGGCUUUGUAAGUUAGAGGUGAAAGCCUGGUGCUCAACACCAGAACUGCCUUUAAGACUGCAUCGCUUGAACGUCGGAGAGGUGAGUGGAAUUCCGAGUGUAGAGGUGAAAUUCGUAGAUAUUCGGAAGAACACCAGUGGCGAAGGCGGCUCACUGGACGACUGUUGACGCUGAGGUACGAAAGCGUGGGGAGCAAACAGGAUUAGAUACCCGAGUAGUCCCUGUCUCUUAUAC
rnacentral:rRNA from 1 species